rnacentral:lncRNA from 1 species
UUUUAUAAAAUGUUCCUACAACUGGUAACCCAGGUCACAGGCUUUAUCAGUCUGUGACAACAAAAUUAACUCAUACUUCCAUUUCAAACCCAAACUCAUAUGGCACAAGUUCAAAUCAGCAUAACUACUGGAAACUGGCCCUAUUUAAAUUGUUUCCCAAACAAUUUCUAAGGUCCCAGAGUAAUAAAUAUUCAGGACUGGUCACCAUCUUCUACACCUGCUUUUUUGUUUUUUCUCUGGACAGGAAUGCUGAUGGACACCACUCUCCUCCCCUGGUGACAACUAUUGAUGCAUCCCUACUGUGGCAAGCCUCAUCAGACAACCUUGUUCUUGUCAAAUAAAGAGUCAAGAAGAGAACAGAAUGAUACUUUGAAGAUGAUAGUUUUAUCCUGUUCCUGUUAAUAAGUCGAAUAUGUGCCUUGUAUACAUUUACAACCUAUACAAUGUCUACAGAGCGGUUCAGCUGUCUAGGUAAGUGAUGCUGGUGUCAGGCCCCCUGUUGUUCCCAUGAUUUCACCUCAGAGAUGACUGUUGAGUGUAUUUCUUUGCUACUUAUUUUUUUGCAUGUAAAUACAUUUUAAAUGUAAUUGAAUUUAUUCUGUGUAUAUCACUUUUAUCUUUUUCUCUCCCCACAAUAUCAUUUCAUGGUCAUUUUAGCAGGUCAGUUGGUAUUUUCCUUUUUUUUCAGAUUUGAUAAACCAAGUUUAUUUUUUAUUUCAACAGAUUUUUGGGGAAUAGGUAGUGUUUGGUUACACGAGUAAGUUCUUUAGUGGUGAUUUCUGAGAUUUUGAUGCAACCGUUACCCAAGCUGCAUACCCUUGAGUUGGUAUUUGAUAUUUUCUAAAGUAUGAUUUUUAAUGAUUUUUUUAUAUACUUCAUCAUAUGACUACUUCAUAUGUUUAAUCAUUCCCCUUGAUAAGUGGCAACAUUUUUCUGUAUGAAAGAAACAAACCAAAAAAACCAGAGAAGAAAAGUACCUCCCUGAAAUGCACUGGUAUUUUGAUACAGCAAAAUUUGACAACAAAAACGAAAAAUACCACCAGCUAUAUGAAAAACAAACAACAAACCUUUGAUUCUUAUCAUCCUUAACAAUACUCAGCUUUGUAAAUGUCUGUUAAAUGAUACACAAAUCCGCGUAUGCAGAUACUGAUAUUUUUCACUGCGCCCAGAAAUUCUGAUUAUUGUAAUGUCUGCUUCUAAAAAUGGGUACAAUAUAAUAGUGUUUCAUAUUUAAGAUAAAUAGUAUAGCUUAGAAGUGGCAGCCUGUUUUGAGG